rnacentral:rRNA from 1 species
ACAUGAAGCUGGAAUCGCUAGUAAUCGCGGAUCAGAAUGCCGCGGUGAAUACGUUCCCGGGUCUUGUACACACCGCCCGUCACACCAUGGGAGUCGGAAAUGCCCGAAGUCUGUGACCCAACCUGCAAGGGAGGGAGCAGCCGAAGGCGGGUCGGAUGACUGGGGUGAAGUCGUAACAAGGUAGC